AGAGUUUGAUCAUGGCUCAGAACGAACGCUGGCGGCGUGCUUAACACAUGCAAGUCGAGUGCGCGCCUGUAGCAAUACAGGUGGCGCACGGCGCACGGGUGCGUAACACGUGGGUAACCUGCCCUUUGGUGGGGAAUAACUCCGCGAAAGCGAAGCUAAUUCCGCAUAAGAUCCGCAAGGAUGAAAGCCGAAAGGCGCCGAUGGAGGGGCCCGCGCACGAUUAGCUAGUUGGUAGGGUAAUGGCCUACCAAGGCUUUGAUCGUUAGCUGGUCUGAGAGGAUGGCCAGCCACACUGGAACUGAGACACGGUCCAGACUCCUACGGGAGGCAGCAGUGGGGAAUCUUGCACAAUGGGCGAAAGCCUGAUGCAGCGACGCCGCGUGGGGGAUGAAGCUUUUCGGAGUGUAAACCCCUUUCGAUCCGGACGAAUGCCCGCAAGGGAUUGACGGUACGGAUAUAAGAAGCCCCGGCUAACUACGUGCCAGCAGCCGCGGUAAUACGUAGGGGGCCAGCGUUGUUCGGAAUUACUGGGUGUAAAGGGUUCGUAGGCGGUGCGGCAAGUUGGGAGUGAAAUCUCUGGGCUUAACCCAGAGGCUGCUUCCAAAACUGCUGUGCUUGAGUGUGAGAGAGGCUCGUGGAAUUGCAGGUGUAGCGGUGAAAUGCGUAGAUAUCUGCAGGAACACCCGUGGCGAAAGCGGCGAGCUGGAUCACUACUGACGCUGAGGAACGAAAGCUAGGGGAGCAAACAGGAUUAGAUACCCUAGUAGUCC
rnacentral:rRNA from 1 species